rnacentral:rRNA from 1 species
GAUGAACGCUGGCGGCGUGCCUAAUACAUGCCAGUCGAGCGAACGGACGAGAAGCUUGCUUCUCUGAUGUUAGCGGCGGACGGGUGAGUAACACGUGGAUAACCUACCUAUAAGACUGGGAUAACUUCGGGAAACCGGAGCUAAUACCGGAUGAUAUUUUGAACCGCAUGGUUCAAAAGUGAAAGACGGUCUUGCUGUCACUUAUAGAUGGAUCCGCGCUGCAUUAGCUGGUUGGUAAGGUAACGGCUUACCAAGGCAACGAUGCAUAGCCGACCUGAGAGGGUGAUCGGCCACACUGGAACUGAGACACGGUCCAGACUCCUACGGGAGGCAGCAGUAGGGAAUCUUCCGCAAUGGGCGAAAGCCUGACGGAGCAACGCCGCGUGAGUGAUGAAGGUCUUCGGAUCGUAAAACUCUGUUAUUAGGGAAGAACAUAUGUGUAAGUAACUGUGCACAUCUUGACGGUACCUAAUCAGAAAGCCACGGCUAACUACGUG